rnacentral:misc_RNA from 1 species
GUAGGUGAACCUGCGGAAGGAUCAUUACCAAAUCCAAAAAAAACUUUAUCAACACCCAAAUGUGAACUGAGAAUGGUUUCGUUCCCUCCUCCGAGAGCGCCUUUUCUUUUCUUCUUCUUCUCUCCCCUUUCUAAGAAAAGGGAGAAAAGAAAAAGAAAAAAAGCCCUCUCAAAGGAGGAGGGAAUGCAUUUUUUCAACCCCUUUCCAACCAUAUCAACCCAUUUCUACCAUGCUGAAAGCAAAAAAAAAACGAAACAUGAGACAACUUUUAACGGUGGAUCUCUUGGCUCGU